GUUCCUCACUGCCUCAUCCUCACACUCACGCCCUCACUGCCUCAUCCUCACACUCACGCCCUCACUUCCUCAAUCCCUCAGCCAAUCUGCAGGGUAUCUGUCCAUCAGCGUCUCAGUCCCUGGCCUAACCAGAGUCACCGCCGUCACUCGAUACAUCGCCCUCAUGCUAAAGCUUCAAGCCGCAGGUCACGCACUCCGAUGGUCGCCAGCCGCACCCCGCCGGUCACACCACUGCCUUUCCUCAACCACUAAAGGUUUUAAAGAAACAAUUAGCUCUACUGUGGAUUACAUAUGCCAUAAAGGCGUAAUGAGACCCGACCCUGCAUAGAGCAUCGCUUACGACCCGAUCCAAUCCAUACCCCGUUUAGAAAAAUCUCAAAAAAAUCAGCCUGGCAGCUAUGGCUGCUUAUCCAUCGCCACUGAAUUUUCUUUCUCCUUCAGUACAUCUCUACUUUUACAAUCCACUCUUACCAACCCAUUCUCCUACAAGUUUCAGAACUCUAAGGUUCAAACUCUACUGUUCUUCUCAAACAACCCACUCUGAAAUAAGAUACACCACUCCCACAAGGAAGAAGAGAAAGCCUAGGGCAAGCUUCCUAGAAAAAAUUCAAGAAAAAUGGUCUGUAAAACCCACUUCCUCGAGACAAAGCUUCCCUUGGCAAGAACAAAAAUCGGAGCUAACAGUUGAAGAAAUUUCAGAGCCUGGGCUGCAAUUUUUUGCGAAUGGAAUUGAAAAUGAAGAAGAAAAAGUAGAAGUUAGUGACUCAGUGAGUAGUAGUAAUUCAAGAAUUGAGGUAAAGCUUCCUCCCUGGGCUCAUGGAGCCCUGCCCAGAGAACAUUUGUUUAGUUCUGAUGCUAGAAUUUUAGAAGAUACUGAGGAGGAAAGGAUAAAUGUUAGUGGAUUUAUUGAGACUUUCGAAAAUGAUGAUUCUGAUAGUCGCUUUCAAGACCUGAAAGCUUUAGUUGAAGAGGUGAGUUUUGAUUCUGAAGUGGUUGAAACUGAUAAGUUUGAUGCAAAAUUUACCUCAAAUGGUAUUAUUUCACAAAAAAGUGAAACGUUGGUUCAAGGCUUUCCCUUUAGUGGGAAUUUCUCUAGCACUGUUCAAGAACCCAAUUUUGAUGGUGAAAGUGAAGAUGAAGUUAAACUUGAAGGAUUUCAGACCUACAAAGGCACUUACUUAAAAGAGAACUCAUCUAAGGUUUUUAAAAACUCUGUCAAUGUUAGGGGCUUGAAUGAUCCUAAUGAUUUGUUGAGAUUGCCUUGGGAAGGAGACAGUAAAUAUGCAAGGAAAGAGAAGCUAGGAAUGAGCAAUACACAGGUAGCAGAGAAAUCAAUACCUGAGCUUGAGCUGAAGAGACUUAGAAAUGUGGCGUUGAGGACGUACGAAAGAAUAAAGGUUGGAGCAGCUGGUAUAACACAGGCAUUGGUGGAUUCUAUUCAUGAGAAAUGGAAGGAGGAUGAGAUUGUGAAAUUGAAGUUUGAAGGUCCUCAGUCACAUAACAUGAAGAGGACACAUGAGAUGCUUGAGGCUAAAACAGGAGGAUUGGUGAUUUGGAGAUCAGGCAGUUCAAUAGUGAUAUACAAAGGACUAUCAUAUGCAUUUGAUUGUGUAAAAUCAUUUGUUAAACAAAAUAAAGCUAAUUUGGAUACAUUAGAAUUGUCUCGAGAUUCGGUGGAUAACAGUGGAAUUAAAUAUUUGAAUGGAGUACAUGGAACAUCAAAGUCUUAUUCGAAUAGUCUAACAGAAGAAGAAAAGAUGGAUUUAAGUGAGCUCAAUCUUCUUUUGGAUGAGCUCGGCCCGCGUUUUGAAGAUUGGAAUGGUCGUUAUCCUCUUCCCGUGGAUGCAGAUUUAUUGCCUGCUGUUAUUCCUGGAUAUAAACCUCCUUUCAGACGUCUCCCUUAUGGUGUUAGACAGAAUUUAAGAGACAGAGAAAUGACAUACUUUCGUAGGACAGCGCGAGGGAUGCCCCCACAUUUUGCGCUAGGAAGAAACCGAGAGCUGCAAGGUCUGGCUGCUGCAAUGGUGAAGCUAUGGGAAAGAAACGCUAUUGCAAAGAUUGCCAUCAAACGUGGAUGGGAAAGAAACGCUAUUGCAAAGAUUGCCAUCAAACGUGGUGUGCAUAAUACAUGCAAUGAAAGGAUGGCAGAAGAACUCAAGGUGUUGACGGGAGGAACACUCUUAUCUCGUAAUAAGGACUAUAUAGUCUUUUAUAGGGGUAAUGACUUCUUGGCACCGGCUGUUACAGAAGCGUUAAAAGAAGCAGAGACACGGAAUACUCUUCAACAAGAACAUGAAGAACAAGCACGACAGGCAGCAGCAACCUCUAUUGUUUCAAACCGUAGGACUGCUAAAAGGCCAUUGGUUGCAGGAACCCUUGCUGAGACCAUAGCAGCAACUUCACGCUGGGCUAACCCACCCAGUAAUCAAGAGAUAGAGAAAAUGAUGAAAGAUGCAGCUGAAGCUAGGCAUGCUACUCUGAUCAGAUUUCUUGAAUACAAGCUGGCUCUUGCAAAUAGGAAAGUGAAAAAGGCGGAGAGGGCUUUACAAAAGUUGCAGAAGAAUCUGGAACCAGCUGAGCUGCCAACUGAUUUGGAAACGUUAACUUCUGAAGAGAGGUUUUUAUUCCGUAAAAUGGGUCUGAGCAUGAAACCUUUUUUGGUUCUAGGGAGGCGAGAGGUUUUUGAUGGCACCAUACAAAACAUUCAUUUACACUGGAAGUACCGGGAGUUGGUAAAGAUCAAUGUAGAACGAAAAACCUUUCCACAAGUGAAACAUUUUGCAAUUAGCCUUGAGGCUGAAAGUGGCGGGGUUCUAGUAUCUAUUGACAAAACUACUCGAGGCCAUGCAAUUAUCCUCUAUCGAGGCAAGAAUUAUCAGCGACCCAGUGAAUUCAGACCUAAAAAUCUUCUAACAAGGAGGCAGGCAUUGGCACGUUCAAUAGAACUUCAAAGAAGGGAGGCAUUAAAACAUCAUAUAUUGGAGUUGAAGGAUAAGAUCGAGAAUAUGAAAUCCGAUCUGGAUGAAACGAAAACUGUGAAGGAGAUUGAUGAGGAGGCCUUGUACUCUCGGUUAGAAGCAUUUGCUGAUGACGAGGACAUGGAAGAGGUGAGUGCCCCUUUUCCAUUUCCCCUUAAAAGUUAACUUAAAGCUUCUCAUCCAGGUUGACCUUCUUGAGCCUGUAUCACAUUUUCUGGAAGCUGCUCGUGUGAACUUGGCUCCUGAAAAUUUAACUGUGCCUGAGAUGCACAGAGCUGCCAACUUUUAUUGUGUUCCACUUCAGGUAGUGUGCCAAGGACUUCACUCCAGCCGGAAGAUAGGAUGUGAUCAUGGUCUGAUCAUGCAGUUUUUUGAGGGAAUAUGAAUUCCAAAUCCAUUUUUCUUCCUUCCAUUUAUUUAAACUUUAUUUUAAAUGCAAUUGUUUGUGGGACUGGCCACUAUGAAGUUGUUUGGUUGGUUGAGGUUGAUUGAUGGUAUAGGGGAGUGGAAGAAAUGGUUCACACAUCCUUUGGUUGAGGUUGGAAGUGACUAAGUGAGAGACAGUCAUGCUGGUAAAUGUUUAGUAAGUGGAAACUUAAUGUCAUUUAGAAUCUUAAUUUAAGACAAUUUUGUCAUGGGAA